rnacentral:rRNA from 1 species
UGCGUAGGCGGAAUGGUAAGUCAGUGGUGAAAUCCCCCGGCUCAACCGGGGAACUGCCAUUGAUACUGUCAUUCUUGAGUACAGUUGAGGUAGGCGGAAUGUAUCAUGUAGCGGUGAAAUGCAUAGAUAUGAUACAGAACACCGAUAGCGAAGGCAGCUUACCAAACUAUAACUGACGCUGAGGCACGAAAGCGUGGGGAGCAAACA